AUGGGAUUCACUGAAUUCAAUGCUGCUUCAUACUUCAGAGUUCAGACAUUUAUAUGUGCACAACAUGUGCCUUCUAAUUACGAGGCGUCUACUGUUUCUGAAUUUUGGGGUGGCAGCAACAAGGGCGAGGAGCAUGAUCGUGACACAGAGAUGGGCAAGUGCAGGGAAUGCAGGCAGCGGAAAGUUGUUGCGUUGCGGUUACCAACUACAGGGCCAAAUAUGUCGCCAGCCAUCCGCGCAUUAACUAAUUUAUGGCAGUGCUUUUGCUGGAGAUGGAAAUUCAUAGAGAUGACGCCCUAUUGA
rnacentral:rRNA from 1 species